rnacentral:rRNA from 1 species
UACGUAGGGGCCGAGCGUUGUCCGGAGUUAUUGGGCGUAAAGCGCGCGCAGGCGGCCUCGCGCGCCCGACGUGAAAGCCCCCGGCUUAACCGGGGAGGGUCGUUGGGGACGGCGGGGCUUGAGGGCGGGAGAGGGUGGUGGAAUUCCCGGUGUAGUGGUGAAAUGCGCAGAUAUCGGGAAGAACACCCGUGGCGAAGGCGGUUCUCUGGGACGGUACUGACGCUGAGACGCGAAAGCGUGGGGAGCGAACAGG